GGCCAAGAGUUAGCUCAGUUGGUUAGAACGUGGUGCUGAUAACGCCAAGGUCACGGGUUCGAUUCCUGUAUUGGCCA